UACGUAGGGUGCGAGCGUUGUCCGGAAUUAUUGGGCGUAAAGAGCUUGUAGGCGGUCUGUCGCGUCUGCUGUGAAAAUCCGGGGCUCAACCCCGGACCUGCAGUGGGUACGGGCAGACUAGAGUGUGGUAGGGGAGACUGGAAUUCCUGGUGUAGCGGUGAAAUGCGCAGAUAUCAGGAGGAACACCAAUGGCGAAGGCAGGUCUCUGGGCCAUAACUGACGCUGAGAAGCGAAAGCAUGGGGAGCGAACAGG
rnacentral:rRNA from 1 species